rnacentral:rRNA from 1 species
GAGUUUGAUCAUGGCUCAGAUUGAACGCUGGCGGCAGGCUUAACACAUGCAAGUCGAACGAUGAUUACUAGCUUGCUAGUAUGAUUAGUGGCGAACGGGUGAGUAAUGCUUAGGAAUCUGCCUAUUAGUGGGGGACAACAUUCCGAAAGGAAUGCUAAUACCGCAUACGUCCUACGGGAGAAAGCAGGGGAUCGCAAGACCUUGCGCUAAUAGAUGAGCCUAAGUCGGAUUAGCUAGUUGGUGGGGUAAAGGCCUACCAAGGCGACGAUCUGUAGCUGGUCUGAGAGGAUGAUCAGCCACACUGGGACUGAGACACGGCCCAGACUCCUACGGGAGGCAGCAGUGGGGAAUAUUGGAGAAUGGGCGAAAGCCUGAUCCAGCCAUGCCGCGUGUGUGAAGAAGGCCUUUUGGUUGUAAAGCACUUUAAGUGGGGAGGAAAAGCUAAUAAUUAAUACCUAUUAGCCCUGAC